rnacentral:rRNA from 2 species
UCCGUAGGUGAACCUGCGGAAGGAUCAUUAUCGAGUUUUGACUGGGUUGUAGCUGGCCUUCCGAGGCAUGUGCACGCCCUGCUCAUCCACUCUACACCUGUGCACUUACUGGGGGCUUCAGAUCGUAAAACGGGUCCCUUUACCGGGCUUGCGGAGCGUGUCUGUGCCUGCGUUUAUCACAAACUCUAUAAAGUAUCAAAAUGUGUAUUGCGAUGUAACGCAUCUAUAUACAACUUUCAGCAACGGAUCUCUUGGCUCUCGCAUCGAUGAAAAACGCAGCGAAAUGCGAUAAGUAAUGUGAAUUGCAAAAUUCAGUGAAUCAUCGAAUCUUUGAACGCACCUUGCGCUCCUUGGUAUUCCGAGGAGCAUGCCUGUUUGAGUGUCAUGAAAUCUUCAACCUGCAAGCUUUUGUGGUUUGUAGGCUUGGACUUGGAGGCUUGUCGGCCGUUCUUGGUCGGCUCCUCUUAAAUGCAUUAGCUUGGUUCCUUGCGGAUCGGCUCUCAGUGUGAUAAUGUCUACGCUGCGACCGUGAAGCGUUUGGCGAGCUUCUAACCGUCUCAGUUGGAGACAACUUUAUGACCUCUGACCUCAAAUCAGGUAGGACUACCCGCUGAACUUAAGCAUAUCAAUAAGCGGAGGAAAAGAAACUAACAAGGAUUCCCCUAGUAACUGC